ensembl:lncRNA
GUGUGAGUGUGUAUAUGAUUGUGCCCUGCGAUGGACUGGCACCCUGUCCAGGGUGUACCCCGCCUUGUGCCCCAUGCUCCCUGGGAUAGUCUCCAGGUUCCCCAUGACCCUGAAAAGGAGUAAGCGGUAGAAGAUAGAUGGAUGGAUGGUAUUGCACAAGCAUUGGGCAUAGUCAGUAAAAUAAUUCGGAGCGUCCUCUAUUAACAGUCAGGCAUGGAACGGGUCGGCCAAGAGCUGUGAAGAAAGUGAGAGCUGUGAAGAAAAACCCAAACACAACAGUUAGUGGACAUCAACAACAGCCUCCACAGGGCAGGGGUGAGGGUAUCACAACCCACCGUUCGAAGAAGACUUAGAGAGCAGAAAUAUAUAGAGGCCACACCACUAGAUGCAAACUCCUCAUCAGCAGUAAGAAUUGGAAAGGAAGAUUGGAAUUCGCAAAGAAAUACAGAGAUGAGCCAGAAAAGUUCUGCAACCAAGAUGAACCUCUACCAAAGUGAUGGAAAGUCCAAAGUGUGGAGAAAGAAAGGAUUUGCUCAUGAUCCAAGACAUACGAGCUCAUCUGUGAAACAUGGUGGAGGUAGUGUCAUGGCUUGGGCUUGCAUGGUUGCUUAACGAACAGGCUCAGUAAGCUUUAUUGAUGAUGUAACUCAUAACGAUGGUAGCAGCAAAACGAAUUGAGAAGUUUACAGAAACAUUUUCUCUGCCAAUUUACAGAGAAAUGCAUCCAAUCUAAUUGGGAGGAACUUCACCACGCAGCAAGACAAUGAACCAAAAAGCACUGCCAACUCAACAAAGGAUUUCAGUGGGGGGGGGGGGGGGGGGGGGGUGUUUUAAGUUCUGUUUGAGUUCUGUUUAGCCUUUGAUGCUUGUUACAUUAGUGCUGAAACCCGAGAAGGAUGAGGGACGUGCUGUCGGAGAGCCCUCAACUCUGUGGGAGGAUCACGGUGCUGAAGAAGAGUGAGGUGAUGGUGCUGGAGCAGGUUGCCAGGAAGGACGGAGGAGUCGCUGCCAUCCAAUGGGAGGCAGAGAAUCUGCUACUGUCCGCCUGAAAGGGGGGGGACGUUUGCCGUCCGCCAGGGGACGGAGGCCCCGCUGCGUUCCACCCGGCUGCCGUCCACCUGAAAAGGGGAGGAGCCAUAGUCAUCUGCCAGGAAGUCCAGUGCCAUUGCCCGGCAUCGUGGCGGAUCGCUUCCCAGUUGGCUGGGAACCAGAUGACAGCGCGUCUAUGGACCGGAGAACCAGUGUUUUUCCUUUCUCUUCCUCUUGCUCUGUCUUUCCAGCUCACCCAUUCACCCUCCUCCUUCACUCUCCCCUCUUCUUCCCCUCGUCUCUCGCUCGCAGGAUGCAGAAGGGCAGCAGCGCUACUCCCGAAAGGGCCAGAGGGGGUAUACAUCAGGCAAGAGGACUGAAUCUGACUGUGGAGGAGUGUGAUGAAGAGGAGGAGGGAGGGGCCAGGCUGUGAAGCUGUGAGCACCUGGCACAGAGUUGUCAAAUCACUGGGAGAGAGUGAUAAAGGAGCGCUGGGGAGAAAGAAAGAGAGAGAGAUGAACACCUGCCAGAUCCAUCCUGAUGCUGUACUUCUGACUUCUCACCUGAAAACCACGGGCUGCUUGGUGAGGAUGGCCCCAUAUGGACAACUUAAAGAUCACUGAGCUUACUAUGGCUUGCUCAUUAGGGAUAAAGUCAUACAUUUAAAAUUCUAUAUACUGAAUUUAUAUAUUUCUGUAAAGCUGCUUUGGGACAAGGUCCAUUAGAUUAGAGGGCUUUAUUGUCAUUGUAGCUGAAAUCAUAUUCUCCAAGGCCUACAUUACAAAAAGUGACAACAGUGAACACACCCGACAACAGGUAGUGCAAAAUUAGAAAAAAUUGGAAGUGCACAAUGGACAAUAAAGUGCAAGACAAUAAUUAGAUGCUGUGCAGGAACCUGUAAUGUGAGUACAAUACAAUUAUGCAAGACAAAAUAUUAAAUACUUACUAUUAAUAAUACUAGUACUAUCAAUAUUAGUUGUAGUAUUAUUAGAUCUAACUAAAUUUAAAUUUUAAAGAAGAUAUGGUGAGUCUGGCAUUAUUAAUCAAAUAGUAUACAAUCAACAAAACAGUAAGCUAAUAUUUACCAACAACAACAAAAAAAGGAUCCUUAUGUUAUUUGAAAAUGGAUACAACCCAACCUGGCAACGCUGAUGAUCCACUCCUGAUUGGUUAAAUUUAGACCACGGCAACCUACUGAAAAAUCAACAGAAUUUAGCUAGAGAAAAGUCAGGACUCGCAAACUGGUGUUUAGUUUUCUGACAGUAAGAACAUUGUGUGUAGCAAAUUAGAAAGAGACAAGACUUAAGAUCAUCGUACAUAUAUACAGUUUAGCAACAACCGAUCUGCGUUAAUGCAGCACAUAUUUUCAUUUAGUUUUAAACAAUAUGAGUUAAUUAUCAGUUACUUGAAUAGUAUUGCUCAGAAGGUGUUAAUUUAAAUAUAUUUAAUUCAAUUUAAA